rnacentral:tRNA from 1 species
UGGGGUGCAGCUCAGGGACAAGGCACGUGCCUGGUGUGCGCAAGGCCCUGGGUUCAAUCCCAGCACCACAG